UCUCAUGGCCUUAUCACCCUGUAACACAAGACCGGUUACUCACUGAAGCUAAGCAGGGCUGAGCCUGGUCAGUACCUUUAUGGGAGACCACAUGGGAAAACUAGGUUGCUGUUGGAA
ensembl:rRNA 5S_rRNA 5S ribosomal RNA